GGACUGCAGCAACACCCCGGCACAUACUGUACGGAUCUUUGAUCUCCUGCAUCGCAUUAAGUAACAAAGAGCAGAGGACUUCAGAGAUGUAUGAGAUGGUCUGAUUGCAGCGCAGGGCUCUGUCCCAACCCGGACUGGGGGUCGUACCACCAAUUCCACCAUCGUUAGAGUUAUUAUUUUUGUUUUUAGCUGGGAUACUUCCAAGAGCGCCCGAUUCCUUGAAUUAGAUCCUUACAGCCAUUGUAACGUUCACUUCCAUGUAACAGCGUGGGACUUUUUAAGCACUGAUGUUGCGUUCUUCGCCUUUAGAACCAAUCACUGAAAUGGUUAAACCUGCAGGAUGUGGUGUGCAAUUUCUCCCCUGCAAAUGUUCCCACAACGUAUCUCUCGGAGGGUUAUUACCGCUUAUUUUAUUAAGGAGCUCCCGGAGGAAAAAGUGCACAACCUUGGGGGAAUCCUCUGAGUGGGGGUGAGAGAGCUGGCUAUAAAAGCACGAUAAGUGGUGCAAAGGGAAAGACCCA
ensembl:lncRNA